rnacentral:rRNA from 1 species
GACGAACGCUGGCGGCGUGCUUAACACAUGCAAGUCGAACGGAAAGGCCCUGCUUGCCGGGUACUCGAGUGGCGAACGGGUGAGUAACACGUGGGUGAUCUGCCCUGCACUUCGGGAUAAGCCUGGGAAACUGGGUCUAAUGCCGGAUAGGAGCCAUUUUUAGUGUGAUGGUUGGAAAGUUUUUUCGGUGUAGGAUGAGCUCGCGGCCUAUCAGCUUGUUGGUGGGGUAAUGGCCUACCAAGGCGGCGACGGGUAGCCGGCCUGAGAGGGUGGACGGCCACAUUGGGACUGAGAUACGGCCCAGACUCCUACGGGAGGCAGCAGUGGGGAAUAUUGCACAAUGGGCGCAAGCCUGAUGCAGCGACGCCGCGUGGGGGAUGACGGCCUUCGGGUUGUAAACUCCUUUCGCUAGGGACGAAGCUUUUUGUGACGGUACCUAGAUAAGAAGCACCGGCUAACUACGUG